rnacentral:rRNA from 1 species
AUACGGAGGAUCCGAGCGUUAUCCGGAUUUAUUGGGUUUAAAGGGAGCGUAGGCGGACGCUUAAGUCAGUUGUGAAAGUUUGCGGCUCAACCGUAAAAUUGCAGUUGAUACUGGGUGUCUUGAGUACAGUAGAGGCAGGCGGAAUUCGUGGGGGAGCGGUGAAAUGCUUAGAUAUCACGAAGAACUCCGAUUGCGAAGGCAGCCGGCUGGACUGUAACUGACGCUGAUGCUCGAAAGUGUGGGUAUCAAACAGGAUUAGAUACCCUGGUAGUCCACACAGUAAACGAUGAAUACUCGCUGUUUGCGAUAUACAGUAAGCGGCCAAGCGAAAGCAUUAAGUAUUCCACCUGGGGAGUACGCCGGCAACGGUGAAACUCAAAUGAAUUGACGGGG